GCGCCCAGGCGAGGCGCUAGGCGAGGCGAGGUGCCCCUCCGCCGCCUCGACUGGGUCGCCUCUCUUGGCACCAGAAGAGUCGACGCCUCAGGUUGGCGAGGCGAGGCACGAGGCAGGCGAGAGGUGUCGCCUCUUUCAAGGGCAGCAGAACCCCUUUUUUUUAUUUUUUAAAACAAAAAUAUAAAACCCUAAAGAUUUACCUGUUGCCGACCAAAAAAAAAUAGAGUUGCAUCAACUCCAGGAGUUGCGUCGAGUCUAUCCAGUCCAGGUAUGUCUCUCUCU
rnacentral:misc_RNA from 1 species